AUGCGUAGUCCUCUUCCAUGGCGGCUCGGCCCCAAAGAUGUUGACGGCGCCACAGAGACAAUAAAUCUUAUUCUGGGUAACUUUAAAGUCAUAUAUUUUGAUGGUUGGAAUGGAUUUGGAGCAUCCUCUGUUCUUAGAUCCAUAGCUGCAAUGCUUCCAUCUAGGAGAACCCCUCCGGAACAAGUCUUCGACAAAAAAAUUCUUAUAGAUUGCUCAAAGUGGAAAAAUAAAAGAGGAGUGCAGAGGGCAAUUGCAAAGGAACUGCAACUUGAUCGCUCUAUAAUGGCUAUUCUAGAUGAGCAAGAUGAAGAUGAUGAUUUUUGGGGACGUGAUGAAAGCUCAAGGUGUGAGAUAGAUAGUGUUAGUCAAGUGAUUGAUAGGACCCUGAGGGAUAUCAAACUUAUGAUGAUUUUUCUUAAUGGGAGUGAUGAUGAGGUUGACGUAGGUCCCAUGGGUAUUCCUCUACCAAGAUAUGGCGACAACAGGGUGAUAUGGACCUUCAGCGGAAGCUACAUGUCCAUGCAUCAUAACCAAUCCAAGGUGGCAAGCAAGCUAAGAUCUACUGAGUUUUUUUUCUAUUGCUCUAUCGAAGAAUUGACAAGCUCACAGUUUCGUGGAUUGCUACAUCAACAAGCUGGUAGCAUAGUUGCUCGCAACCCAUGUAGGCUGGACAUUGACCAAACAAUUAUUGCAGAUUGCUGUCUCUACGAGUUAUUCCUACACUAUAAUUUCCACACCGUCACUAAAUUUGAUUGGGUUUCUCAUGCUUCUAACUAUUGGAUAUGCGAUGGGAUCAUACAAUGGGAAAGAGCAAGGGAUAUUAGUAAUGCAUUGCAUCUAGAGAUAAAUUGGAAGUGUGACGCUUCUCUGCUAGAUCAUGUUCUUAAAAUGUUCAUGGAACAUUCAGAGUCUCCUUUUCUGGCAAUUAAAGAUGACGAUCUCUAUGAAGAAGGCCCAUAUCGUUGGAUUUCGGUCACGUCGAGAGAUGCAGAAGUACAUGGGAUGAAAGCAAUACCUGCAGAGGCGUCAUCUUUCUUCUUGGCAUUUGAAAUAUCCAAUCCCCCAAGAGCUUUGCCAGAUGACAAAACUAUUGGAGGAGAGAAUCAUGCAGUUUGGUUAUGUCUGAGUAGCUUGUGGGUGUUGGACCUGCGUUACACCGAUUGGAAUGAAAUCUUAUCCAAGGAAAUGUUAAAUCUCAUGAAAAAUAUCAGAGAGUUAAAUAUAGAGGGAGUCAGGGGCUGGCAAUACACUACUGAUCUACAAGGGCGAUUACCUAACCUCCAGAGGCUCAGAAUAAUCAAACCGACGUGUCAAUGGGAGACCUCAGAGGAUGUCAAUAACUCCUCUACGGAUAAGAAAAGUAUGGAAAUACUUGACUUGUCUGGCAAUUGUGACAUGAAAAUUCUUCCACCAAGCCUAUCGAAGGCAACUAGCCUCCGGUUGCUUGUACUUGAUGGUUGUGAUGGACUGGAAAGCAUUGGUAGGCUCCCUCCCUCCCUUGAAUCAUUUAGCUUUAAUGGAUAUGGGCCAGCUUCUCAAUGGACAGAAACUGCUGAGCUACCUUCAAAACAAUUUCGUCCAUCCAGCAGAACAGAUAAUAAGGAUGUCAGAAUAUCCAAGAUCUCCUUAGCAGGCUGCACCCAGUUGGAGAAUUUGUAUUUGUGUGGGCUACCCAACCUGGUGGAAUUGGACCUCUCUGGAACAUCAAUCAAGAUACUUGACUUCGAGACUAUGGUGGUGCAAAUCCCAAGGCUCAAGCGGCUGUUUCUAAUAGGAUGCAAGCACCUUCGUGCAAUAACCUUUUCGCACGAGAGUGUUCCUGACCUGGAGUUGCUGUGCGUAGACACGCGAGCUGGAAUCGUGUGUCCUCUUCGGCCAUCCAUCAGUAAAAACAAACCCACCAGGUUGCAGGUGCAUGGUGUUGUUGUAGAUGCAAGGCUUACUCACUCCUUGUCGAAUCUGAUCUUUAAUUAUAGACAAGGUGGUGUCCACUUUAAUAUCCACGUCACAUCCUCACCUAUGUAUGACGGGAUUAUUCAAUUUGAAGCAACCAACAAGGAUAUGAUUGGCCCCAGUGAUCAAGAGAGCCUGCAGCUUAUUCCAACGGGCCGGUACAGUGAUGUCCUUGGGAUGGUUGGCGUUGUCCCAAUGCAGGCCUUUCCACAGCCUCCGACUACAAAGUUUGAUCGACAUGUAGAGAUUGCUGAUGGGAGCUUCUACGUGGAGAGAGAACUUGGCGAAGCACUAGGCCAACUGAUGGGAAAUCAUGCGGAAUCCCUGCAUGUGCAUGAUAUCUUGGUACGUGCUAUUAUGCCUAAAUACAGUUCGUGGGUGCUUAGGUGGUGCUGCGUGGAGAGGUGCCCAAAAGUGGAUACCGUCUUCCCUGGGAAUUCAUUCGAGUUUACUGCAUUGGAGACCUUCUGGGUGUCAGAUCUCAUGAUGGCCCGCUCGAUUUUGAGUAAAGGUUCACGCUUUAAUGGAUAUGGUGAGAUUGGAUCCUUCAAAAGUUUACAGCACCUUCAGCUGCGUUCAUGCCCCAGCCUCCAAUUUGUGCUCCCGGUGUGGGUCUCCUCCUUCCCCAGCUUGGUGACCCUCCAUAUCAUCCACUGCGGCAACCUCAGCCACGUCUUCGUACUGGACGAAGAGUACCCUGAAGAAAUAACCACCCUUGGUGUACUAUUCCCGAAGCUGACAACCAUCGAUUUGCAUGACCUGCCGAAGCUGGAGAACAUAUGCGAGGUCCAGAUGGUGGCCCCUGCGCUCGAGAGCAUCAAGAUCAGGGGAUGCUGGAGCCUGCGCCGGCUGCCAUCUGUGGGUGCGCAUGGCAAUGGCAAGAAGAAGCCGGCCAUUGAGAUCGAGAAGGACGUGUGGGACGCCUUGGAGUGGGACGCCCGCCACCGCCCUGUCCACUUCCAGGCGCCGGUCCACUCGCGCUACUACAAGGAGAAGCUGCCCAGGGUCUCCGUCCUUAGGUGA
rnacentral:rRNA from 1 species